UCCAGCUACAUAGAAGAGGUUAUCCGCUUCCUACAGCUCUAUGCUGAAGACUGAAGUUUUGUUAUGGAAUAUAUACUACUCAAGGUUUCCUGUGCACUGCAGGAGUUGCAUUUUUUGGCAGGAUUAGAAACAAAAAUCAGAAGGAUUUCUACACCCAUGUCAUCUCCUAUCCUGGUGCCUGGGACAGCAGAUACACCAUGACCACAGGACAGCAAAGCACCUGUACAGCAAAGCAUCGUGCAGUCAUCUAAUGGAAAAGAUGGUUGUUGGUCCAGCUUUAGAAUGGAGAGUCUUUUCUGAGUCCCAGCCUCCACUGCAACUCAGCACGUCUUUCCCCUGAUUUUAUGAACCUGCAUGCAGCACAGUUGCUUGGUUCUCUUCUGCUGCUCAGACAGAUGGCUUAUCAGCUUUGUGAAGGCACAUGAGGAGUGGCAAAAGGAGAACUGUAGAUAUGUGGAAGAUGGACAUCAUCUGUCACAGAGCAUUUGGCACAAUCUCAUUGAUCUUAAUGUCCACUUAGAUCAUCGUGGAAAGUCCUGCGAUGUUCUCCCCAAGAUGUGCUUUUGAAUUAAUUUUUUAGCUACGCUGUGCAUUGGAAAAACAUGAUGUGUGUCCAUAAAAUUAACCAAAGCUUUUGGUAGAUAUUCAUUACUCAAGUCUUCCUCCAAAAAAGCUUCCUUUUUCAAUCAGUUGAUAUCUGAAUUUAGGGCUGCUGUUGUCCAUUUUGCAAAAUACAGAAGCAACAUUUUAAUGAAAAAGAUUUACAUCCUCACAGAUAUUGCAUCGGACUUCAGCUAAAUGGGCAAGUUGUAAAUAUCAUCUGGAGAAGACAUCCCAUUUACAAGUCUCCUAAGAAAUUUUCCUAUAAGCAGUAGAUUGCUCAAAUACAUGACUAGAGGAAAGAUUGCUAUAGUACCAGAAUACCAACUAGGACCAUAAUAUCAUUGCAAAAUCGCCUUAUAAGCCUGCCCGGUUUUUGUGGCCAAGAGAGAAUUAUGGUCCAGCUAUUCCAUGAUGUUUUAUGCUGAUCUUGUUGCAUCUUCUGCAGAACUAAUCUAGGGCAAGGCCUCAAAUCUAGGAAAUGGCUUCAAGUUGCACCAGUUGGGAUGAGAUUGAAUAUUUGGAGAAAUUACUUCACUGAAAGAGUAGUGAAACAUUGGACCAGGCUGUGGCGCAGGAAGUAGUACAGCCACCAUCCCUGGACAUGUUCAAAGAACGUGUAGACAUGGCACUUCAGGACACAGUUUCUAGGCCUGAGCUAAUGAUUGGAGUUGAUGAUCGUAGAAGUCUUUUCCAACCUUAAUGGUUCUAUGAUUCUGUUCUAUGAUUCUAGGAUAGCUUUUCCUUGUGGAUAAGUCCCAGUGUGUUUUGGGCACUAAAAUUUAGUAAAUUUACCUUUGAGUCUUUAGAUGGCCCCUUUACAAUCUAAACCAUCUUACACAGGAUACUACUGCUAGAGGAACAUGAGGGAAAAGAAAUAUCUAAUGUUACAUUCAAGCCUCAAAGUCCAGUGUGGUAAUGAAGGUCACCUCCAAAGUUCAAAGGUACAUCAAGACUCAUAUACACUUUUUUUAAACACUACUACUUUAUUUCAUUUUAUCUACCUUAUAUAGUAGCUUGGGUAUUACAAUACAGUAGCACAUUUAGAAUAAUUUUAUUUCCUGGUGAAAUACUCCCAGGGUGACAGAGAAUACUUGAACCAUUUAUUUUAUUCAAGAUAUGGCUGUGAGGAACUGGGAACCAAUCAGGAAAUCAGCUUCUAAUACAUGUGCCUGAUCUGAACUAAAACACUGACAUGUGCCCAUCUGUAGCACAGAUGUAGCACAGUCCAUGUCUACCUAACCUUUCUCUAACUCUUAGGCAGGGCAGUUAUGUCUAAGCCACAAGUUGAAGACCGUCUCUAGCCUGUAAUGAUCCAUGUCUACUAGUUGUCUGGAAAAGUACUGGAUUGCCUGGCCCAAAGACAUGUCGCAUACUUUGUUUAUAGUUUUACUGUACAGGUGGUGGUGUGCCAGUGCUUGGGGCAUGCCCUGACGUUACUCAGUUUACUGGACUGGCAUAGUUGCAGCUGCAGAAUCCCAGGAAGGGUUAGGGGCAUGAGAACUGAGGAAUGUUAACCGGCUUCAAUUACCGGCUCCAAUAGGUAUGCUGCUGAAAUCUACAUAGAUGAGUGGUAUAUAUUUAAUGGGGCUAGAGACUAUUAAUCCUGUGACAGAUUGCAAUCAUCCUAGACUUAGCACAAAGAACUAGAAACAAUAAUUCUGGCAGAGGUCUAGAGUAGUAUCUAGAAAUUUGAGUAGGAAAGUAAUGGAGAGCCCAUGACAAACCUCUUGCUCUCCUCUGUUCUUCCUGAGAUCCAUGAGGGAAAAAGUUGAUGCAGGCAGACUCUGAAUGAAAUACUUGGUACUUACUUAAAGCUACUUUCUCAUCUGCACUGCGUACUACUGCAUCUGCACUGCACAAAUCAUAUGGCCAGAGGAGGGCCACAAAGACGAUCAGAGGGCUGGAGCACCUCCCAUACAAGAACAGGCUGAGAGAGUGGGGGUUGUUCAGCCUGGAGAAGAGAAGGCUCCAAGGAGGCCUUAUAGUGACCUUCCAGUUACUGUAAGGGGGCCUACAAGAAAGCUGUGGAGGAACUUUUUACAAGGGCAUGUAAUGUUAGGACUAGGGGGAAUUGCUAUAAAUAGGAGAGGGGAAGAUUUAGACUAGAAAUUAGGAAGAACUUCUUCACAAUGAGGGUACCGAGGCACUGGAACAAGUUGCCCAGGGAAGCUGUGGAUGCCCCCUCCCUGGAAGUGUUCGAGGACAGGUUGGAUGGAGUGUUGAGCAGCCUGACAUAGUGUGUGGUGUCCCUGCCCAUGACAGGGGGGUUGGAACUAGUGGAUCUUUAAGGUCCCUUCCAACCAAAAUUGUUCUAUGAUUCUGUGAUUCUAUGUGUUAUAUGUACACUGCUGGUAUGCACUUGCAAGGCACUCAAAGGUGAAAAACAUAGAAGUAGGAGAUGGGGACAAAAUCCCAGUUUGUAAAGGAAACAGUGGUGAACUGACAAGUUUUAAAAUACUCAGUGAAAUAAAUAUAAAAUUUUUCAAGACCCUUGCAGGCAUCAUAGAUACUGUGUCACAGUUUUCCACAGCUUUUCAGAUUAAGUACGAUUUCUUGACUUUUCUGAGAAUUCAAAUUUGUCAAGAAGUGAAUGAAAGUGAAGACAGUGGCUGGAAUUUGGCAUGUCAUGUAGUCUGUGACAGACUUUCUCAGUGAGGACAAGACACACAUGGGUUGAUGUUCUAGCAUCACAGCAAGCUGAGGUAGACACCAACCAAAAUAGGAGAAGCAGUGAGCAGAGGUUGUGACUUCUAAGCAGGGGAACAGUUACUCACUUUUAGACAAAAGCAGCAUUUCUACUAAAUGAAUCACUAGGGACACUCACUGUUCGAGUCAGCAAGAGCAACGUUAACUUGUCUCAUCCAGAAGAAAUUUUCAUCACUCUUAGCUUAGUGCAUGCAGUUGACUCAGUGCAGUCCUUCAGGAGGUAAUAUUUAUCCAGGCAAUAUCUUAGUGUCAGUAGGCAAAGCAGUAACACAGCAGCACCCAUGUAAUUGAAGCUGUAGCAUGCCAUUGUGUGUAAUGAAAUCAGCUCUAUACAAGGUCACCCAAUCUGUGGAAUUGAGACCCAUAUGAGCUGUUGCAGCCAUUAACUUUCUUUGUCUUUAUACUUUUCAUUAUGUUUGAGAAUUUGGUUCCAGGCUAGUAGCCUGCAGCAGCAGGCAACAAAGAUGAGGUUUUGCUGAGGUGCAAUCCCCAGAGAGAAAAUAUGUGACAAGAUUGUACUCACUGGGUGAUGUCCUGUUUAUAGCUUGUGUUUGGGAAUGGCCUUAUCUGUGUUCCUUUACACACUGAGAGAGUAAUUAAAGGCUCAUUUUCAUUUCCUUUUUUACCUUACUGCUAUCAUCCAGAUAAUUUCAGUGUCCUUAAUCAACAUUUGCAGGCGUAAACAAUGUUAUGCUAGUAACAGUGUUGUGACAUAAACAUUUCCUAAUGUUACUACAAUGAACAUAAAUGUUAGAUUGUCCCAUGUUUAGAGAUAGAAAAAUGGAAGAAGAGACUGGUAAAGUGAGUAGUCUGUAAUGAUAUUAGUCUGUUUUAGACAGGACCUUUCAAGUUGUCGUGACCCAGACAGUUCUUUGUCUCAGGUUUUGCAGCUCUGCAUAAAAAUCUACGUGAAUUAAUCUGUAGAUUUUAAUCUGUAGAAGGGGAAAAAAACCCAAACCCAAAACAACUACAACCCAAAGAACCAAAUCCAAAAGAAAAAACACCCAGAUCAAGGAAAGAUUUACUCUUAUCCAGUGAAGAUCAACUGUUUCUGCAACAGGGCAGUGGAUGACUAGAGAAAGAGAUACACAAAUUACCACUCAUUACCUGUUCCACAAGGAAAAAGCAAAGAUGAUGAACAAGCUUGUUAACAGAUAUGACACCCCAAGCAACCAUGAAGCACUUGCUGAAACAGUUGGGAUUUUAGUGCCAAACAUCUUGAUCUUAUCACUAUCACAUUACAUGACUAAAUAAUACAGAAGUGAAUGUGGUGUGUUCUCUCCAGCGAUGAUGUUAUCCCCUAAAUGGAAAAGUGUGGAAGAUGGAAUGUGCUAUAUAAGCAUAAAAUAUAGAUGUAGGCCUUAAUUUCCACUAAAAUCAAUGAGCCUGGCUUGUGCUUUGCACUUGCAUAGCUCAUUCCAUCUUCCCUAUGUUAUUGCCUUACCAAUUAGAAUUAUUAAAAAGCAAAGAUAGGGGCAGCAGCCGCAACUUCCAACUAACAACACACAGAGUCCAAGACCUGAAGAAAAUAAUGUACAGUUUUCAUAAAAAUAUAAAUGAUAGCAAUCUUAAAGGCCUAGGAUAAUUCAAUCAUCUGUCUCUCAUAUUCCUCCAGAUACUUAUUAUUUAAGUAUCAUGGCAUGCCUG